GUCCUUUUGUUAUUUAUUUAAGGUCUGACCUGCCCAAUGAUUUAUUUAAUGGCCGCGGUAUCCUGACCGUGCAAAGGUAGCAUAAUCAUUUGUCUUUUAAUUGGAGGCUUGUAUGAAUGGUCGGACGAGGGGUAGCCUUUCUUUAUUUAAUUAAAAUUAAUUUAAUUUUUAAGUUAAAAAGCUUAAAUUUUUUUAUAGGACGAGAAGACCCUAUAGAACUUUAUUUUUAAAAGUUUAUUUUAUAUUUAGUUUAUAUUUUAUAUAAUAGGUUUUAUAAAAUUUUGUUGGGGUGACAGGGGGAUUUUUCUAACUCCCUUAAUUUUUUAUUCAUUAAUUAAUGUGUUAUUGAUCCAAAAUUUUUGAUUAUUAGAUUAAGUUACCUUAGGGAUAACAGCGUAAUUUUAUUGGAGAGUUCUUAUCGAUAAUAAAGUUUGCGA
rnacentral:rRNA from 1 species